rnacentral:rRNA from 1 species
UCCCUCGGGAAACUGAGGUUAAUAUCUGAUAGGAGAUUUAUACUGGAAAGAUUAAUCUUUAAAAUUCGAGCCUAAGGAUGGGGCUGCGGUGGAUUAGGUUGUUGGCGGGGUAAUAGCCCACCAAGCCUUUGAUCCAUAGGGGCUCUUAGCGGAGAAGCCCCGAGAGGGAAUCUGAGACACUAUUCCCAGCCCUACGGGGUGCAGCAGUUAGGAAUAUUCUGCAAUGCGCGUAAGCGUGACAGAUUGAGUCAGAGUGCGCUUCAAUUUGGAGUGCUUUUGCUAAAUGUAAAAAGUUUGGCGAAUAAGGACUGGGUAAGACGAGUGCCAGCCGCCGCGGUAAUACUCGCGGUCCAAGUCGCAGCCAUUUUUAUUGGGUCUAAAACAUCCGUAGCUUGCUUGGUGAGUUCCUUGUGAAAUUCUAUAUCUCAAAUAUGGAGCGUGCAGGGAGUACUGCCAAGCUAGAGACUGGAAGACGUAACGAGUACGUUUGGAGUAGCGGUAAAAUGUGUUAAUCCCGGACGGACUAACAAUAGCGAAGGCACGUUACGAGGACAGUUCUGACAGUAAGGGAUGAAGGCUAGGGGCGCAAAACGGAUUAGAUACCCGUGUAGUCCUAGCAGUAAACACUGCACACUAAACAUUAGUACCUCCUCGAGAGGUAUUGGUGCUGAAGGGAAGCCGAAGAGUGUGCUACCUGGGAAGUAUAGUCGCAAGGCCGAAACUUAAAGGAAUUGGCG